GGGGAAUAUUGGUCAAUGGGCGAAAGCCUGAACCAGCAAUGCCGCGUGAGUGAUGAAGGCCUUCGGGUUGUAAAGCUCUGUCAGUGGGAACGAAUAAACCGAUUAAUACCCGGCGAUGACGGUACCCACAAAGGAAGCACCGGCUAACUCUGUGCCAGCAGCCGCGGUAAUACAGAGGGUGCAAGCGUUGUUCGGAAUUACUGGGCGUAAAGCGCGUGUAGGCGGUCCUUCAAGUCGGACGUGAAAUCCCUGGGCUUAACCCAGGAACUGCGUUCGAAACUGCUGGACUAGAGUAUCGGAGGGGAUGGUGGAAUUCCUGGUGUAGAGGUGAAAUUCGUAGAUAUCAGGAGGAACACCUGUGGCGAAGGCGACCAUCUGGAAGAUUACUGACGCUGAGAGGCGAAAGCGUGGGGAGCAAAC
rnacentral:rRNA from 1 species